CGAUNNNNNNNGCGGUAAAAUCGUGUGGCUCAACCAUACCUUGCCGUUGAUACUGGUUGUCUUGAGUGCACACAAGGAAGAUGGAAUUCGUGGUGUAGCGGUGAAAUGCUUAGAUAUCACGAAGAACUCCGAUUGCGAAGGCAGUCUUCUGGGGUGUUACUGACGCUGAGGCUCGAAAGUGCGGGUAUCAAACAGGAUUAGAUACCCUGGUAGUCCGCACCGUAAACGAUGAAUACUCGCUGUUGGCGAUACAUGGUCAGCGGCCAAGCGAAAGCAUUAAGUAUUCCACCUGGGGAGUACGCCGGCAACGGUGAAACUCAAAGGAAUUGACGGGGGCCCGCACAAGCGGAGGAACAUGUGGUUUAAUUCGAUGAUACGCGAGGAACCUUACCCGGGCUUGAAUUGCAGGUGCAUGAGUGAGAGAUCACUCUUUCCUUCGGGACUCCUGUGAAGGUGCUGCAUGGUUGUCGUCAGCUCGUGCCGUGAGGUGUCGGCUUAAGUGCCAUAACGAGCGCAACCCUUUUCCAAAGUUACCAUCAGGUGAUGCUGGGGACUCUUUGGACACUGCCAUCGUAAGAUGUGAGGAAGGUGGGGAUGACGUCAAAUCAGCACGGCCCUUACGUCCGGGGCUACACACGUGUUACAAUGGGGGGUACAGAGGGCAGCUACCAUGCGAGUGGAUGCGAAUCCCGAAAACCCUUCUCAGUUCGGACUGGAGUCUGCAACCCGACUCCACGAAGCUGGAUUCGCUAGUAAUCGCGCAUCAGCCAUGGCGCGGUGAAUACGUUCCCGGGCCUUGUACACACCGCCCGUCAAGCCAUGAAAGCCGGGNNNGCCUGAAGUCCGUAACCGCAAGGGGCGGCCUAGGGUAAAACUGGUGAUUGGGGCUAAGUCGUAACAAGGUAACCA
rnacentral:rRNA from 1 species